rnacentral:rRNA from 1 species
GAUGAACGCUGGCGGCGUGCCUAAUACAUGCAAGUCGAGCGAACGGACGAGAAGCUUGCUUCUCUGAUGUUAUCGGCGGACGGGUGAGUAACACGUGGAUAACCUACCUAUAAGACUGGGAUAACUUCGGGAAACAGGAGCUAAUACCGGAUAAUAUUUUGAACCGCAUGGUUCAAAAGUGAAAGACGGUCUUGCUGUCACUAAUAGAUGGAUCCGCGCUGCAUUAGCUAGUUGGUAAGGUAACGGCUUACCAAGGCAACGAUGCAUAGCCGACCUGAGAGGGUGGUCGGCCACACUGGAACUGAGACACGGUCCAGACUCCUACGGUAGGCAGCAGUAGGGAAUCUUCCGCAAUGGGCGAAAGCCUGACGGAGCAACGCCGCGUGAGUGAUGAAGGUCUUCGGAUCGUAAAACUCUGUUAUUAGGGAAGAACAUAUGUGUAAGUAACUGUGAACAUCUUGACGGUACCUAAUCAGAAAGCCACGGCUAACUACGUG